CGGGUUUGACAUCUGCGGAAUCUAUUUGAAAGAAUAGAGUGCCCUUCGGGGAGCCGCAAGACAGGUGCUGCAUGGCUGUCGUCAGCUCGUGUCGUGAGAUGUUGGGUUAAGUCCCGCAACGAGCGUAACCCUUGUCUUUAGUUGCCAGUAUUAAGUUAGGCACUCUAGAGAGACUGCCUCGGUUAACGGGGAGGAAGGUGGGGAUGACGUCAAGUCCUCAUGGCCUUUAUACCCAGGGCUACACACGUGCUACAAUGGGCUGUACAAAGGGUUGCUAACCCGCGAGGGUACGCUAAUCCCAAAAAGCAGUUCUCAGUUCGGAUUGGAGUCUGCAACUCGACUCCAUGAAGUGGAAUCGCUA
rnacentral:rRNA from 1 species